rnacentral:rRNA from 1 species
UGGCGGACGGGUGAGUAAUGUCUGGGAAACUGCCUGAUGGAGGGGGAUAACUACUGGAAACGGUAGCUAAUACCGCAUAACGUCGCAAGACCAAAGAGGGGGACCCUCGGGCCUCUUGCCAUCGGAUGUGCCCAGAUGGGAUUAGCUUGUUGGUGGGGUAACGGCUCACCAAGGCGACGAUCCCUAGCUGGUCUGAGAGAAUGACCAGCCACACUGGAACUGAGACACGGUCCAGACUCCUACGGGAGGCAGCAUG